AUUUUUUUUUCAGUUAGUCUUAAUUAUUUUUCAGGUAGUCUUAAUUUUUUUUCAGGUAGUCUUCAUUUUUUUUCAGGUAGUCUUCAUUUUGUUUUCAGUUAGUCUUCUUUUUUUUUCAGUUGGUUUUUGUACUUCAGUUAGACUUACUUUGGGUUUCAGUUGGUCUUUAUUCUUUUUCAGGUAGUCUUCAUUUUUUUUCAGGUAGUCUUUAUUCUUUUUCAGGUAGUCUUCAUUUUUUUUCAGUUAGUCCAACUGAAAAAAAACAAAGUUCAACUGAAACAAAACAAAGUCCAACUGAAAGAAACACAAAGUCCAACUGAAAGAAAACAAAGUCCAACUGAAAGAAAACAAAGUCCAACUGAAAGAAAACAAAGUCCAACUGAAAGAAAACAAAGUCCAACUGAAACAAAACAAAGUCCAACUGAAAAACAAAACACUAACCUCUGCUUUCUCUCACUUUCUCCUUUUCUUCAUUCCUCUUAGCUGAUUUUUUUCUUCUUUGUUAGAUCAAUAAAGAAUGGAGACUGAGAUUAAGAAUUUCAUGAAAAAUAGGAUUUAUGAAAGAACUUAAGAAUUUCAUGAAAAUCUUCCAAGUCUUAUCUUCAUUAAGAAUUUCAUGAAGAAUUUCAUGAAGAUGAUGAGUCGAAUAUACUCAUCACAGGGAAGAACAAGUUUCUGAAGUAAGUAGUACUAUUUGAAGUUUCUAAAAAGGGUAAUAAAUAGCUAUUAUGAUUUCUGCCAUUGAAGGAUGGUUGUACUAUUUGAAGAAAUGAAACAAAAUAAAUUCCACAAAUACAGAGAAAAAAAAGGUUGUAGAAGUUGAAGAA